rnacentral:rRNA from 1 species
CAAGGAAUUUUCCCCAAUGGGCGCAAGCCUGAGGGAGCAACGCCGCGUGGGGGAUGACGCAUUUCGGUGUGUAAACCCCUUUUCGGGAGGACGAAGCCAAUGACGGUACUCCCGGAAGAAGGACCGGCUAACUACGUGCCAGCAGCCGCGGUAAGACGUAGGGUCCGAGCGUUGUCCGGAGUUACUGGGCGUAAAGCGCGCGCAGGCGGUCACGUACGUCGGGUGUGAAAGCCCCCCGCUCAACGGGGGAGGGUCAUUCGAAACGGCGUGACUGGAGGCAGGGAGAGGUCGGUGGAAUUCCCGGUGUAGUGGUGAAAUGCGUAGAGAUCGGGAGGAACACCAGUGGCGAAGGCGGCCGACUGGACCUGUACUGACGCUGAGGCGCGAAGGCGUGGGGAGCGAACGGG